rnacentral:rRNA from 1 species
AUUGCACAAUGGGCGCAAGCCUGAUGCAGCAACGCCGCGUGAGGGACGACGGCCUUCGGGUUGUAAACCUCUUUUGGCAGGGAAGAAGCGAAAGUUACGGUACCUGCAGUAAAAGCACCGGCUAACUACGUGCCAGCAGCCGCGGUGAUACGUAGGGUGCAAGCGUUGUCCGGAAUUAUUGGGCGUAAAGAGCUCGUAGGCGGUUUGUCGCGUCUGCUGUGAAAACCCGAGGCUCAACCUCGGGCCUGCAGUGGGUACGGGCAAACUAGGGUGCGGUAGGGGAGAUUGGAAUUCCUGGUGUAGCGGUGGAAGGCGCAGAUAUCAGGAGGAACACGGAUGGCGAAGGCAGAUCUCUGGGCCGUAACUGACGCUGAGGAGCGAA